CAAGUCUCUAGGAAGUUCCGAACUUUCCUGCAUCUUCCUGUCUUCUGAGCUUUCCAAGUCUUCAGGAAGUUCCAAACUUUCCCACAUUUUCCUGUCGGUUGCCCCAUACACAAGGGUCUGGGCCCCUCUUCUGGCUUCCGGCUGGGCUCCCACCAGAGCUGCAUAUGUUUGGCUCAGCGGCAGCAGCAGCAGAUGGCAAAAAGUGGGUGGGCUGGGGGGUAUCUGCAACUGAUCCCACAGCCGCCGGAUUAAUGAGGCCUCAUGCCCGCCUUCUUUUCUGCAGCAUGCCAGCCAACAGUAGCUUCCUUUGCUGGGGUGGGUUUGUUUGUGGGAAAUUUUUUGGCAGUGAAAGCCCAGCACCUGAUUGAAAACUUCCUCUCCCCCUCAUUUCUCCUUCUCUCCUGGCUUCUAUACUGGUUCUAAAGUACUCUGGGGCCUCAAGCUUGUCCCUGGGGUUCCUCCUGGUGUCAGGCUGAUGAAACUGAGACCAGGUAGUCCUGCUAUUACAUUUACUGUUGGGGAAACUGAGACUUGGAGAAUUUAAUUAUUCAUUCAGUAGCAGGAAGCUCAGGACUCUAUGUACAUUUCAUGCCCUCUCGUGUCUAGCUACAUCCCUGGGUUGGCAUAGACCCCAUGAGUAAGAAUGUGAAUGGUUCAUAUUGGAGGAUGAGGCAUAUAUAAGCCUAUUUGAUGGGCAUUGAGGUCAUGGGGACAGGGGCAUUGCAUGGGAA
rnacentral:lncRNA from 1 species